ensembl:lncRNA
AUUAUGAUGAGGGAAGAGCCAAGUGCGAUGGGAGCACAAGAGGGUCACCUGAGCCAGUGGUGGAAGUCAGGGAAAGCUUCCUCAAGGAAAACAUUUUGACUUAAAGCAGUUGCUUACAAGUUGGCCAAAGGGGUUCGGGGAGAAGGGUCUUUCAGGCAAAAAAAUAGCAAAAAAGAAUGCAGCUGAGGAGGACUUCCCUGGUGGUCCAGUGGUUAAGACUCUCUUCCAAUGCAGGGGAUGUGGAUUUGAUCCCUGGUUGGGGAACUAAGAUUCCCCAUGCCCUGGGGCAACUAAUUCUUUGCAUGGCAAUGAAGACCCAGGGUAGCCCAAAAAAAAAAAAAAAAACCAAGAAUGGGGCUGGUAUGUGUGUGUGUGUUUACAGGUAAGAUGGGGAGCUGUAAUGAGUAACGGGGGUGGGAAGACCAGAUCAUAACGGAUGGUAUAAGAAUGACUGGAUGCCUGUCUUCCCAGGGUACUUAGUAACAGCACCCCCUUCCAUGCUGUCCUGGUUUGGAUAAUUGAGUAAGCUAUCACAUGCUAUCCUACUUGUAAGACAUACUAAGGAAUGUGAACUUCAUUCUAGGAGCAGAGAAGAACCCCUGAAAGUUGGAAGAGGGACCUGACAGGAUCAGAUCCAGACAGAUAAAAUAGACUGGCAGUAUGUGAAGAAUGGAUUGGGUGGAGCUAAGUGUGGAGGAAGGUCAGUUAUGGAGCCAUGCAGUUGUCCAAGGGAGAGAUGAGGGUGGCCAGGGCGAGAGAAGUGUUGGUAGAGAGAAGACCAAUUUGUACUUUUGGGCAGCAAAAUGCAACAGAACCUGGUGGAUGCUGGUACCGUGGAGGAUGGGGCUGCCUGUGGAGAGGUUGUGGUCAUCAAUAUAUUUUUGCCCAAAUGCCUUUUCCAGAUAGUUAUGAGGCAGUGGGGCUGCAAACCGGGCCAGCCUUAAGUAUCCUGGAUAUUUGAAUCCAAAGGAUAAGGAAAAGUGGGAGGAGGAUAUGUAACGGGAGGAAAGCUAGGGAACAGUGAAGAAAGGUAAAAAGAGUUUUAAAUGCACAAGGUAAAAACCUGGAUUAUAGGUUAUCUAAAAGAGAACAAUAAAUGGAAGCCAACAUAGAAGGCUGUACAGGAAAGAAAGGUGGAUAUUUUUAAAAUUACAGUUUACAACAGCAUGUGACCAUUAGGGAGACGUGUGUAAAAAGCCUUCACCCAUAAUCUGCUGCUCCAUGACAGGGAUGAUGAUUUUGGUGUAUUUGGGAGGUAGGCAUGAGUGAGGCAAGAGCGGAAACAGCA